rnacentral:rRNA from 1 species
GACGAACGCUGGCGGCGUGCCUAAUACAUGCAAGUAGAACGCUGAAGAGAGGAGCUUGCUCUUCUUGGAUGAGUUGCGAACGGGUGAGUAACGCGUAGGUAACCUGCCUGGUAGCGGGGGAUAACUAUUGGAAACGAUAGCUGAUACCGCAUAAAAUUGAUUAUUGCAUGAUAAUUAAUUGAAAGAUGCAACUGCAUCACUACCAGAUGGACCUGCGUUGUAUUAGCUAGUUGGUGAGGUAACGGCUCAACAAGGCGACGAUACAUAGCCGACCUGAGAGGGUGAUCGGCCAAACUGGGACUGGGACACCGCCCAGGCUCCUUCGGGAGGCAGCAGGAGGGGAUCUUCGGGAAUAGGGGGAACGCUGACCGAGCAACGCCGCGGGGGUGGAGGAGGGUCUCGGAUCGUAAAGAUCUGUUGUAAGAGGAGAACGGGUGUGGGAGUGGAAAGUGCACGCUGUGACGGUAUCUAACCAGAAAGGGACGGCUAACUACGUG